GCCGAGGCGGACCUCCGGCGUUCCCGCGUCUAGCUGUUGCUACCAGGGCAGUAUCCCUAGCUCCUGGCGGUUCUCAGGGCUUUACAGCCGCUCGUGAGCUCCGGAGCACCCCUGGGCUGCAGCUGCGAAGGGUGCAGGUCCCCUGGACCACUCACUCCUCCCACCUGGCACGGAGAGAGCUGGCUACCAAAGCCGUGCCGUUGACUUCACCUGAGUCAUCACUCAAGGCAGAGUGGUGCUGGAAGCUGCUGUUCAUGCCUCUGUCCACAAACUGAACACACGGCACAGAGAUGUUGCUCGCCUUGCCUGGUGCUUGUCUGCAGAGACCCGAGGGAGGGGAGCACCUGAUUCAACCAGGGACCCGUGGAUUGGUGGGGCCCGAGGACUAAGAGGAGGUGUAAGAAGCCACUGGGCAGUCACAGCGCUGGUGUGACUCUGGAAACGGGGACCUGAUGGGAAGAGCUUCGGACUAAAACGCUGUCAGCCAGGCCUGUGAGGGGUUCCCAGGCAGAUGUCAUCCCACUGGGGUCUCUUUGAGGCAAGAUGUAGGACACAGUGGCCAUUGUGAGCUUUGCUUGGGCUGGGGCUGGAGACCCUUGUGGCAGGGUCCCCCUUCCUCGGAAGCCUUCUCUCUUGGCGCUGGCGCCAGUCAGCCUGGCCUUCCUCCCUUCUGAAUUUUCCCAGCUUUGGAGGGAACCAUAGAUUUUUGCCUGUGGCUGGGCUGGGGUGGGCGCCCCCUUGUGGUCAGUGUCUUCUCCCCCUUUUCUUUCCUGUUUUGAGUUGUUUUUCAAGGUGUGGUCUCACUCCCUGUAGCCAAGCUGUCUUAGAACCUGUGAGUGCGGGGAGGUGACAGCGGUGAGUGCCUCACCUGGAUAAGUGUGUCACUUCUGUGGUCAGUUUCAGCCCCACGUGAAUCCCAGGUCUCGGGUCCUUGUCGGGCUGACCAUCUCUGCCGCAUGCUUGCAGGUCUGCUGGUGUUCCUUCUGCGCAGGCGCAGCCUCUGUUGCCUGGCUGGAUAUCACAUCAGCUUCCUGCCUUUGCUCUUCCCGAGGAAUGAAACCCAAACUAAGCAGAGCCCCAGAAGACCUGGAGGGAUGCUUCUUUAGGCUGUGUAGCCAACCUGAUGAGCCAUGCUGGGAUGGUGCCUACAGCCUCACCACCCUGUAGCUGGGGGAGCAUCAGCUGGAAAGAUGGCGGUCGCUCAGCAGGGGGCUGCUCCACACUGCCCUUGGGCCAGGCAGUAGGAGGACAGGCUGGGCUGCCAGCAAUCCCCUCAGGGAUCAGUCCUGGUGAUACAAUGAUCCGCCUCGCCACUCCCAGAAGACAAGCCAAACCUCCAACCCCUGGCUUCUAGAGGAACCUGUUCGGUAACUCUGAUUUGUGUGAAGUGGACAAAAACUAUCCUGCUCGGUGCUAGUCCUCAAGAUUCAAACCCAGUGUUUGAAGCUGUGCAUAUGGCUUGCUCUUCUCUCCCUAGUGACACAGAGCAGGAAUGUACACACUUCUGUUGCUCUUCCACACGGCACAUGAGAGCUGAGGUGUAGACAGAGCGGAUGCCUGUACCAUCCUGUUCGAUGAAGCGUGCCUCCUCUCAUCUGCCAGCCAAAGCCGCUUGGGGCAAGCGGGCAGACUCAUGCACCUGAUGAGCUGAGUAUCAUCAUGGAGACUGAGGAUACAGCUCGGAGGCAGAGUAUUUGCCUAGCACACAGGAGGCCCUGGGUUCAGUCUGCAGCACUGAAAAAAAGAUUUCUAGAGCAGCCUUCAGCCUCUGCACUAAUUGUCUGUUACUGAGUACCAUCUACCUUAAACAAGAAUUUUUAAAUAAAGAAACUCUAAAGAUGUA